GACAGAGGUGCCAAGCGUUAGGCGGAAUCACUGGGCUUAAAGCGUGUGUAGGCGGAUCGUUAAGUACCUUGUGAAAUCCCACGGCUCAACCGUGGAACUGCUGGGUAUACUGGCGGUCUUGAGCCACCUAGGGGCAACUGGAGCAAGCGGUGGAGCGGUGAAAUGCGUAGAUAUCGCUUGGAACGCCAACGGUGAAGACAGGUUGCUGGGGGUGUGCUGACGCUGAGACACGAAAGCCAGGGGAGCGAACGGG
rnacentral:rRNA from 1 species